UGGACGCUAAUCAGAUUCCUAACCUGCUGAGCCACAACGUGAACUCCGAUAGAGAGCCCUGGAGAAAGGAAUGAGCACGUACACAAGGUGAUUUUGGUGAUACGGACCAUGAAGAAAAGAAAGCAGAGUCAUGUGGGAGAAAAAUGACUGAAGUUGUCAAAGCAAGACUCACAAAGAGGUGGCACUUGAGACCUAGAUGAUCAGACUGCAUCAGGACCCCAGGCCGGUAUCUUUGUUGAAAGCAGGAUACACCUCUGGUCAACAUAAGCAGAAAAGGAAUGUGCUGGAAGGGUGUCCAGUAGUUCAGAGAGUGGAUAGGAGGCCUGGAAAAUUAGGCCAGCCCAGAGGUCAUUGCUCAGGGAGGCUGGUGGCCGGAACACUGACCAAAGUCCUGUCCCAGAGGGCUCUUGUUAGGACCCAGCUGCCACUGCUCUGAAUACCGACCUCGAACCCUGGACCCACUGGCACAGCACCACCAGAAGGACGUCCAGACCUCAUGACCCUGGAUCACGUGUUCACAGGUGAAGGACGGUUUCUGCAGCCGGCACGUGAGAGCCAAACGGUGGGAAGCAGUGCACGAGUCUGCGUCGAAGACAGCCAGUCCAUGCAUCGGGAGGUUCUCUCGGUUGGCGAAGGAACAAAGGGAGGACAUGCUCGGGCCAGGAGAUGCAGUUCCUCGCUCUCGCCACUAGAGAGUCUGCGAGGCUCCUCUCUGCAUGAGACCCCUCAAAGGCAAGGCUAAGAAGAUUCUCGGAGUACACCCAGAUACAAGGCCCCUCGACAACAGAUCGUCUCCCACUUUGGGCCUUCAGAGCUUCCCCUUUCAGCUGUGUGGGAAAGAGGGACGCCUUGCCUCAGUCCCCCGGAGGAAGGCAGGGCCUGGCCCCCACGUUCAGAGGCUGGGGGAAAGCGGAGUUCCGGGGCCAGGCUGCGGGGACCUCCGUGGAAGCCCUAGGUGGUACAGGUCAUUUCAGAGCCAUCUGGAGGAUGCGGCCGCAGGACAGGGUGCCGAGACCCCUGCUCCUCCGUCCCCCACAGCAUUUAGGGCUCAGCAGAGAUGCUGAAGACUGGCUAACGGCCCAGGAGGGAGAGGACGGGGGAGGACCGUCCCCCAGGUAAGCGGAGGAUGUGGCAGUCAGAAGACCUGAGCCUGAGUCCUGGUAGCCGGGGACUGUUGCAGCUGCAGGACCUUGCUGACCUGAUGCUUAAGCUAGGAGCGCUCAGAGGCACGAUCCACCCUCCAGCUUCCUCAGCAGGGGAACGAUCAAAGGUACCUGCAGUAUAAGCCAGCGACAAGCAGAGGUGGGGAGACGCUCUGAGGACACAUGGAGCCGGCAGGGCGUGGAACUGCUCCGUCCCCGCUGAUUCCCCAGCCUCCCGUUCGUCCCAGUUGUCGGAUGUCCCCCGCUCUACUCUGUGACAAAGGAAAGACUAGAAAUUAAGCACUGACCGCGUGGCGGUGGGGAGAGGAGCGAAGACAUGGUCUCUCCCGCAGCCUCAGAGAGCCGCCGGACCCCGCGACCACCCCGUGCGCUUCGCCACCAGGGGACCUGGCGGACAGCCUUCAGCUCCUCCACCUGGCAGGUGACCGCUCGGCCACGCGGGCCUACAGACCGCACUCCGGGCGCACUCGCCCAAGCAUUAGCUUCCAUGGAAGAAGCUAGAAUCCCACUUCCUUUAUAAGAAAGUCUGGAAAACGCAAACCUAUGGCAACAGAAAACAGACCAGCCGUGGCCUGGGGCCAGGGGACCUUUCUGGGGCGAUGGUGUGGGUGUCUGAGCCGUGGUGGUGACCAGACUGCAGGUCCUUCUCCCUUCAAAUGGGGAGAGACCUGCUGGAUGUAAGUUAUACCUCAGUAAACCGGACUCUUUACACAA